rnacentral:tRNA from 2 species
GGCGGGGUAGCUCAGUUGGUUAGAGCAGAGGAAUCAUAAUCCUCGUGUCGGGGGUUCGAGUCCCUCUCCCGCUACCA